rnacentral:misc_RNA from 1 species
GUAACAAGGUCUCCGUUGGUGAACCAGCGGAGGGAUCAUUACCGAGUUAUUCAGCUCAUCAACCCUGUGAACUUACCUAAAACGUUGCUUCGGCGGGAACAGACGGCCCCGUGAAACGGGCCGCCCCCGCCAGAGGACCCCCUAACUCUGUUUCUAUAAUGUUUCUUCUGAGUAAAACAAGCAAAUAAAUUAAAACUUUCAACAACGGAUCUCUUGGCUCUGGCAUCGAUGAAGAACGCAGCGAAAUGCGAUAAGUAAUGUGAAUUGCAGAAUUCAGUGAAUCAUCGAAUCUUUGAACGCACAUUGCGCCCGCCAGUAUUCUGGCGGGCAUGCCUGUUCGAGCGUCAUUACAACCCUCAGGCCCCCGGGCCUGGCGUUGGGGAUCGGCGGAGCCCCCCGUGGGCACACGCCGUCCCCCAAAUACAGUGGCGGUCCCGCCGCAGCUUCCAUCGCGUAGUAGCUAACACCUCGCGACUGGAGAGCGGCGCGGCCACGCCGUAAAACACCCAACUCUUCUGAAGUUGACCUCGAAUCAGGUAGGAAUACCCGCUGAACCUAAGCAUAUC